rnacentral:rRNA from 1 species
GGAAGUAAAAGGUCGUAACAAGGUUUCCGUAGGUGAACCUGCGGAAGGAUCAUUACUGAUUUAGCGAACCGAGCGUUAGCGAGGUUUUGCGAUCAACUUGUAUUUAAAACCCACUCUUCAAUGUAUAAAAUUUGUAUUAAUGAUAAAUUAAAAGAUCACUUUCAACAACGGAUCUCUUGGCUCUCGCAUCGAUGAAGAACGUAGCGAAGUGCGAUAAGUAAUGUGAAUUGCAGUAUUCCGUGAAUCAUCGAACCUUUGAACGCAUAUUGCACUUUCUGGUAUUCCGGAAAGUAUGCCUGUUUGAGGGUCAGUUAAAUAAAAAUCGGUGUUGUUGCCGCUUUCCGUGGUGACGCGUCGGAAUUGAGUCGUCUUCGGUUAAGUGACUUAAAAUUUUAUAUGAUUUUCGAACGUAUUUAAAUUUACUUGAACGUUUGAUAUCGGAUGCUUAUUAGGUUCGGUCAUCCUCAUGACUCGCGCCUAUAAUUUUUCAUUAAAUGACCUCAAAUCAGGUAAGAAUACCCGCUGAACUUAAGCAUAUCAAUAAGCGGAGGA